GUGAAACUGCGAAUGGCUCAUUAAAUCAGUUAUCGUUUAUUUGAUUGUACUCUCAUACUACUUGGAUAACCGKAGUAAUUCUAGAGCUAAUACAUGCGAAAAGUCCCGACUCUCGUGGAAGGGAUGUAUUUAUUAGAUUAAAAACCAAUGCGGCUUAACGGCCGCUUAACCACUUGGUGAUUCAUAGUAACUGUUCGAAUCGCAUGGCCUUCUUUGUUCGUGCCGGCGAUGUUUCAUUCAAAUUUCUGCCCUAUCAACUGUCGAUGGUAAGGUAGUGGCUUACCAUGGUUGCAACGGGUGACGGAGAAUUAGGGUUCGAUUCCGGAGAGGGAGCCUGA
rnacentral:rRNA from 1 species